rnacentral:misc_RNA from 1 species
UCUUCUCGCACCCAAGUACCGCGAUCUACCCCUCGUGCUUCAGUCCUUGUCGUGUCCUUGUUCGGUAAAGCUGAAGAUGAGCCAGUGCAGUCCCUACCUCUUACGCCCAUUUCCUUUCGAGCGUUCGCACAUCAGAUGAGGUCCUUCUUUUUCCACUCCACCCACCACACACCACUUACCGCUCACCUUGCUCGCCACACACACGCACGGUAUAUGUGCAUACGGAAUGAAGAAAUCAUUUUUGUUUCACAUGUGCCUGUUUUCUCUCCUUUGUGUUGUGCCCCAGUGCCAGGAAGCGAUUCGAGCUUGCUCGAAUUUGGUGUGCGCUCUCUCUCUCCCCCUCCCUCUCUCUAUAAUAUAUAUAUAUAUAUUAUAUGUUUCUGUGCGUGCGCCGCCUCUGCUUUUAUGCUCAACUGGAGCGUACAAACAUGUCUUUGUGGUUAAGUUGCUGCUUUCUCGUUUGCUCGUUUUCCUUGCGUGCGUUGUGCGCGUGCUUCAACGCACACCAGUUGCAGUGCUCGUCUGUGCGGGUGCUGCUUUGCUUCCUUCUUGGUCUCUCUCUCUCGUCUGAUUCGUUCUGCGUCGGUAUGGCCCGAUCAUUCAUCUCCACGCCGCUCUGGUCUCCUCCGCUCCCUCCGCCUAUCCUCGAGAAGCUGAUGGCCAUGCGCACGAGCGCAUACUCAGUCGCACUACACAAGCGAGGUCUAUCGCUCUCCUCCUUCCUUUUGUCAACACUUGUUUUUCUAAAUAUUCCCUUUAACAUGUUGUCCUCUUUCUCGUCAGUGCUGAUCUCGUGCGUCGUUUCUCUUCUCCCUUUCCCUUCCAGGGCCGUAUGCACGCGUGCGCGUGUAAGUGUCUUUGCUGCACUUUAUCUCUUUCAGUUCGAAGCCCUUCGCAUUUUGUUCAAGACGUGGAGUGUGCUAGAAGAAGAUGCCUUGACCCCCUUUUUUGUUCUCUUGGGCCGCCGUCGAGAUGCCUCAUAGCGCUCGCUCUUUGUUCCCCGAUUCCAUGUGCCUAACACGUGCUGGACUGCUUUUUCUUCUCCUUUUCCGGAGUCAGCUGAUACGCUCCCUUUGCCGUGUACUUUCCAGAUUUCGAAGGCUGUUGGCGUUAACAGCAUCCAUCUUGCCGGGGUUGCUCUCAGUUUUCGUUGCUCCGCCUCGCUGCAUCCACCUGCUGCGCGCUCUCUCUCUUCUGAACUACUGCAGAGGCACUCGCGCACACCAGCGACAUGCGCACCCCUCCUUGCUACUGGAGGCCUUUUCGGACCACCUCCUUUUUUUUGUGCUGUAUUUGUAUGCUUCUGAUUUACUUGGGGCAUGCGUAUGUGUGUUUAUGUCGGCGCUUCUUUCCGUAUACUUGUGCGUGUGCAUUUUUUUUUGUGCGUGCCUCUUAAUUCGACGCAGUCGCUUUUGGUUGGUUGGCUGGUUGCUGCUCCGCUUAUUCCCUUCGUCGCUGCUUUCAGCGGACCGAGGGCGAAGGGGAGGGGUGCGACUCGAAAGAAAGAAGACACACAUGCGUUUCUUGAUGUCUUAUUGACUGUUUUCUUUUUUUUUUGCCGGUUCUUCUCUUGUGUUACUCUCCGUUCUCCAUGUGUUUAUUUUUUUUUGUUGGAUGCUUUCUUCGGUUGCCCACGGCUGCUUGUACCGGUCGCGCCCCUCUCUCAUCCUCCUCGACGCUUUCCGAUCUCUCCCAUCCAGGUAUUUUAUUUUUUAUUUCAGAGCAUAUUAUCCUUUGCUUGCCCCACAGACGUUUGAUCUUGUCGCUGCUUUCUACUGUCUGCCAGUCUGCAUCUUUGGUGCGUUGAUGUCUUUGAUCUUGUUUGUGUUGUCAUGUAGCUGCUCUGCGAUACCGCCCCCUCUUCGCUUGCUUCCCCAUUUUUCAUUUAGCUUGUCUGCCACUUUUCGUUGGUGGGUCUUUUCUCUUGAUCGCUCGUCACCGGCCUCUCUCGCUUGGGGCCUCGGUUUGGCUUCUUCCGCCUUCUGGCUUCUAUGGUUUGUUCGCGUACGUUUUAUUUUUGUUUGCUCUGCGUCACCUUAACAAUUCUCCAUCAUCUCUGGCUUAUUGGACCUCUCGCGCGCCUCCUUUUGAUGUGAGCAUAAUACGUGAGCGUGUGUGUCUCUCCUUGGCUUUAUCGCUCGUGUGCAUGCGCGCGUGAGUGUGUUCGUGUUGCUCUGAUUGCUCUCUUCCUCUUCAUGGGUGCGUUGACUCUGUUGCUUGCGGUCUGUCUCCCCUUCUUUGCUGAAUUCUGGAGUCUCCUCACCGACGCCACCGCAACCGCCGCCGCCGCCAUCGCCAACGCUGCCCAUCCCCCGUGCUUUGUGUUGACCCUUUCCUCCUUUUGUUGGAAAGACUGCGUAUUGCAUUUGUCUCUCCUUUCCUCUCGAUUUCGAUCGCACUCGUCUUCUUGUUCGCGUCAUCCCGGCAGACGCACAGUGCUUUCUUAUCUCCCCCCUCCCUCUCUCUCUCUCAUUUUCUGUUGGCGCAGCUCUGCUCGUCCUGUGAACGGCAAACGAUGCCUGCAUGCGCCACCUCGCUUGCAUUUUUUUUUGUUUCGCUCGCUUUGCGGUUGUUGCGUUCAACGCUCUUGCGGCCCCUCGGGACUCUUUCUCCUUUCUCUUGUUUCUCCCCGGCGCCUCUUUUGCUCGUGGUCGAUUCUUUUGUUGUUGUUGUUGUUGUUCGUGCGCGCGUGCUUGUGUGUGAAAAGCAUCAUUGCUUGAUGAGAGGCCUGGAAGGCCAGCUUCUGCUGUAUGACCAAAAGCGAAAGACGGAUAAAAGGAGUGUGCUGCGUGUGCGGUUGUGUCUGAGAAUGUGCCGUGGAGAGUUAGGAAGGCGCAGUCUUACAUGGCCAGUUUUCACGGUCGCUUGUUGCGCUUCACACCGUCGCCGGUGUGAAAUCGUGGAGUGAUCAACACGCGCACAUACACACCUUACAACCCUCGAGAAGACGUUGAAGGGGGUGUCUCGGCCCUUUCGCCUCUCGUUUUGCGGCCUUCACUCGGGCCUUUUUCUUCGCCGCUGCUCCUUUGCUUUUCCCCUCCGAUUGUGCGCCAUUCGGAAAGAAUGGGGAGGAGAUAGCGAAGGUCAUGACAAGCUUGCGUAGUGCAUCACAAGUCCCACCGCCAGGCCGAAAGUGCAACGAAAAACAAAAAAGGAUGCGCAAGACUCCACACACACACACACACAAAGAGCAACACUGUGACGGUAAGGUAGAUGACGUUGACUAAGAGGGUGGGGACGGCAAGUAUAUGUAGGUAUAUGUGCUCGUAGAUGGAGGGCUUUGGGUCGCACCGAUUGCUCGUAGCUCUCGUAUAAUAGACUCUCUGUACCCUUGCAGUGUCUGUGUUUGUGUGGUUCACAGGUAUUUUGGUUGUCAGAGCGCCUCUGUGCGCGUGUGUGUGUGUGUGCUGCUUGCUGGUAAGCUAUAUAUACUUUUCCUUCUAAACAAGUGAAAAAAAAGCGGUGAUAGUGCUGGCAGUAAGCCUCCCUUUCCUUUUUUCAUUUUGUUUUCGCUCUGAUCAUUCCUGUGUGUACGUGUGCGUGUGCGGUUAUGUGCAUCUGCGUUUGCACGUAAUUAUGUUUGUCUCGAAGUGUUAUUAUUAUUUGGUGUUAUUGUUUUCUCCCCUCUUUUUCGGCCACGACUGUGGGUUUCGUUCUCGUUUUCGCCGUUUUUUUUUUGGGAGGGGGGGCUCGGUGGCGGUGUUUUUGCUUACGAAGGAAUGCCAGGAAGAAUGCCCACACCAAACAUAGGUCGAAGAGUAAAUCCGCAGGAGAAACAAACAAACAAAAAAAACGAAAACGUCCCUCCCCCCAAAAAGUCGGUCAGGUAUUAAGCGACGCUGGCGAGGUGGCGCACGUGUCAAUAGGAGACUCUCUCUUGUAGGGAAGGAGAGAGCGGCAGUGGCCAAAGCAGGCUACUCCUCUAUUUUUUUUUUGCGCUCUUGCCACCGGUGUGAAGUGAGCAGCGGGAUGCAGUUGCAGAAACACCUGUUGUGCUCGUGCAGCACUCCAAUAAUGCAAUUCCCCGGCUUCCAUUUCUCCCUCCUUCACGAUCAAGUCAUGUCCGUGUGUGGGCGACUGCUCCUGCCAUACCCCUUAGCCAUUGCCCGCCUUCUGCGUCUUGCUCUGUGGAAAAACAUUUUUCGUUCGCCUUUCCAACCCGACUUCUGACAUCUCGUCCUUUUUCUCCCCCUCUCACGCCGAUGCACGCACGCACACACAUAUACAUACUCGCGCACAUCAACACAUCCGUGCAUUAAUCACCGGCUGGCCAUCACCCCAUAAUAG